AUUGCUUCCAGUAUCCAGCAAUACUGAUGUUUCUUAAAGUAAGGAAAUUGAAGGAAAACGGGUGAUUUUUAGUAAUAUUGAGAAAAAAAAUCCGCGGUCACAAUGUAUUUAAUGUUAAUAAUUAUAGGUCAAACAACGGUCUUCAAGACGGAGCCUUGGCUCACCCCGAACAGCAAUCUCAGCUUGUUUUUGCAUAAAAAAUGUUUCCAGGUUCAAGCAAUACUGAUGUUUCUUAAAGUAAGGAAAUGGAAGGAAAACGGGUCAUUUUAAGCCAUUUUACUGCGCCCCCCAACCC
rnacentral:lncRNA from 1 species